UCGUGCUAGACGGGGAACUAGCGGUGCCCUGAACCCGCAAACCGCUACAGCGGGGUUGAAUUCCCAUUCGAGGUACUCGUUUUUCGGGACUGUCGUCGUCAAGCGGCAUUGAAGACUGGGUCCUGCGCGGCAGAAGCCUACAAACCCCGCCAGGUUCGGAAGAAAGCAACGGUAAGUAGUCACUUCUGGGUGUUGCAGGGGAGCUUGGUCGGAGCUGGCUGGCGGCGGUAAGCCGGGGGGUUGGUAUCGACAGUGGGUGCACGA
rnacentral:SRP_RNA from 1 species